rnacentral:rRNA from 1 species
GACGAACGCUGGCGGCGUGCUUAACACAUGCAAGUCGAGCGGUAAGGCCCUUUCGGGGGUACACGAGCGGCGAGCGGGUGAGUAACACGUGGGUGACCUGCCCUCAGCUCUGGGAUAAGCCUGGGAAACCGGGUCUAAUACUGGAUAUGACUCCAUGACGCAUGUUGUGGGGUGGAAAGCCUUGUGCGGCUGAGGAUGGGCCCGCGGCCUAUCAG